rnacentral:rRNA from 1 species
CCUACGGGAGGCAGCAGUGGGGAAUCUUCCGCAAUGGACGAAAGUCUGAUCGAGCAACGCCGCGUGAGUGAUGAAGGCUUUUUGGUCGUAAAACUCUGUUGUUAAGGAAGAAGCUAUUUAAAAGUAACUGCUCGGACCUUGAACGUACCUAACCAAAAAGCCACGGCUAACUACGUGCCAGCAGCCGCGGUAAUACGUAAGUGGCAAGCGUUAUCCGGAAUUAUUGGGCGUAAAGCGCGCGCAGGCGGUUUCUUUUGUCUGAUGUGAAAGCCCACGGAUCUUCCGUGGAGGGUGUUGGAAACUGGGAACUUGAGUGCUGGGAGAAAAUGGGAAUUCCCCGUGUGUCGGUGAAAUGCGUAUAGAUGUGUAGGAACACCCCUGGGGAAAGCGGCUUUUUGGGCUGUAACUGAGACUGAGGCGCGAAAGCGUGUGGAGCAAACACGAUUAUAUACCCUGUGAUUCCCCGCCGUAAACGAUGAGUGCUAAAUGUUAGAGGGUUUCCGCCCUUUAGUGCUGCAGCUAACGCAUUAAGCACUCCGCCUGGGGGAGUACGGUCGCAAGACUGAAACUCUCAUGAAUUGACGGGG